CGGCAGUGUGCCUUGCGAGAAGAGGUAAAAGAAUACCGAGGAACAAAAAAGGUGUAAAGUUUAAAAAAACAAUACAACAACUGGGGGUGACUUGUGUUUUUCUAUUUAUACACGGGCUUUUAUUACGUUAUAAUUAUUUACAAAUCACUCUUGUAUAAAAAGUAUGCUAGUCCUUUCAUGAUGGUGUGAUAGGUGGGGCAUGGCCGCUCUUAGUUCGAGGAGCGAUCUGUCUGCUUAAUUGCGUUUCACAAUAGAACAAUGGAGGGAUUGAGAUGUCCCGUGGGAUUGCUUUGGUAUCUUUUUACCGCUUCCCGCUCAACGGGCUCUCAUUCAACCCUGUUACCGUGUUCUGAAGGCAACGAACGUGACCG
rnacentral:rRNA from 1 species